AGCUCGGUGUCGGAGGCGCCAUGGCGGGGUCGAAAUUUAAAACCCUGCGGGCUUCACAGCUAAACUGCCCUUGUUUGCAAUCGUUUCUAAAAGUUAACAGACACCGGGACGAUCGCGUCCAACAACGGGAGGAGCUCGGAAACUUAUUCAGAAAGGACAAUGCCCUCCUGUAAGGUGUGGGGAAAAAGAUGCCAGGAGAAUCUCAUCCUUUAAAACUCACCCAGAAAGGUAGAUCUACGAACCAGUAAGACUCAUUUUUCUUCUUGUUCUUUGUGGUUUUGGAGGCCGCCGCGCCGCUUUCUCACAAACACGCACACAUGCACACACACUGACUUUAACAUUCUCCCCUAUCUCUGUGCAGUGUAUUGGAGGUGCCUUGUCAUGGGCCUUGGUCAUGACUGUUUCUGUCUAAUGAGAUUGAAAUGUUUUUUUUCUGUAUGUUUUGUUGUAUUUGCUUGGCUCCCAUCACUGUGCUUUGUGCUAUGCUACUUUCAUUUUUUUUUUUUUUGACAAUAUUACCGUCCGUCUAGCCAAUAUAGUCUUCGCAUCCAAUUCGAACAUGGCCACCCAAUUGUUUACCGGUUUGCCCAAAAUGGCCACCCUCUUCAUUUUCUCUUCUUUUUUCCCUCUCUGUUGAGCAGAUAGCUGACCUUUUAAUUGUGUUGGGAGGGAGGCCUCCCAACACAAUUGGAGCAUUUAGUCUUUUGAUGUUUUGGUUAGUGAGGUUAUUUAGAAGAUUGCAGAAUGGCUGGAAGCUGUAGGAGAGAAAUUCUGUCCCCUUGUUUAUUUUGGGGGCUUAAAUACGUAGUAGGACAAGACUGGUUCUGGUUUUAGUGAAUUUUUGUUUGGAACUGCUAAGCUAGUGAUGGUGUGACAGGGAAUGGUGAGAUGUUUGGUCAGGACUGGACUGAUAGGUGCAAGGCCUGAGGGGACUGUCUCAGGGCUCUAUGGAGGAUCACACAGGUUUUAUGUUCACUCAGGGCAGGUGGUGGAAUUUUGAAUGUAUAUUGGUUUGAGCAUAUGUAUGUUAGUGGCAGAUUUUGUGUACAAUGAUUUGGUGGAGCUGUAGUAGAUGAUAGGAGUGGAAUAGUUUUUGAAUGUUGUGUUAUAAGUCAGAAUUCUCUAACUUGGCCUGUUGGCUGUGUAAUGAAGUGUUUUGUCUUGGCUGUCAUGAGUAUGUCCAAGUUUUGAUAAAUGUUUGUGCACUAACAUUUUCUUUGUAGGUAAAUCUACAAUUGGUGAGUACCUUUUUUUUUAUAUAUAUAUAUAUAUUCUUGGGUGGCUGCCAUGCCAUACUUAUCUGUCUCUAUAGUAGGGCUGAACAAUUGUUUUUGUAAUCCCAUUUUAUAAUAUUGAGCUGCAAUGUUAUGCAUAUUGUUCAGUCUUACUCUAGAUUUGUUAUAUUUUGACUGUUUUAGACUGUUAAAACAAAUCAAAUCCAACACACACAGCCCUAAAUCCAUUGAAUUGGAUUUUCUUGGCAAAUGCAUCACCACACAAACACAUUUACACUGUUAAAGCUUAUCAUUAACACUAUUUAUUCCAAAAAAAAAAAAAGAUUCUAGAAACCCAUGAAAUUUCUGUUAAGGGGCAAAUUUAGCUUUUAAUCACACUCUGGCCAUCUGAGUCAGUUAACAUGCUUGUCCGUCCGACUUAGCUGCAUUUCAGGCCGUGCAUUGUCCGACUUAGCUGCAUUUCAGGCCGUGCAUUUGUCCGACUUAGCUGCAUUUCAGGCCGUGCAUUUGUCCGACUUAGCUGCAUUUCAGGCCGUGCAUUUGUCCGACUUAGCUGCAUUUCAGGCCGUGCAUUUGUCCGACUUAGCUGCAUUUCAAGCCUGCGUUCAUCCGACUUAGCUGCAUUUCAAGCCAUGCGUUCAUCCGACUUAGCUGCAUUUCAAGCCAUGCGUUCAUCCGACUUAGCUGCAUUUCAAGCCAUGCGUUCAUCCGACUUAGCUGCAUUUCAAGCCAUGCGUUCAUCCGACUUAGCUGCAUUUCAAGCCAUGCGUUCAUCCAUCCGACUUAGCUGCAUUUCAGGCUGUGCGGUCGUCCAUUCAACUUACCUGCAUUUCAGGUCAUACUUUUGUUGAUCAUAGGAUUGCGUCUUUGUUUGUUGUUUUUUUUGUUUUUUUGGGCCGCUGUGCCAUCUCUUCUCUAUCCCUCACUGGUUUGUCUUGGCCGCCGUGCCCAUCUACCGAUCUAUCCCUUUCUCGUUCAUUUGUGCAAUAUCGCGGUUGGUCCGUUCAAAAUUUUCCCGAUUCGCUUGUUCUUCUAAUAUUAAACAUCAUAUAUGAUUAGACUGAUCAUCUGAACAUCAUAGCUGUUUAGAUGAUAAAUCUAAUCCUCUAAAAAUGUAAUCUAAUAAUAAAUGCUUUGUUUUUUCUUUUCCCUUUUGUAACUGCUGAGCUAGUGAUCUGAAAUGAUCAAAUGUUAGGUCAGAACUGGGCUGUAAUGUGUAAAGUCAGCUAUCUCUCAUCAGCCUGUUUUGAGUUGUGUAGUGUUGGUGCUUUGUCUUGACCGCUGUACCUUUUUUAAAGCCUAAGCUGUCAGUCUUCAUCUUACACAAGAGUAUUGCGUCUUUGUUUGUUUUUUUUUUUAUUAUUUUUGGGCCACCGUGCCAUCUCUUGUCUAUCCCUCACUGGUUUAUCUUGGCCGCCGUGCCCAUCUACCGAUCUAUCCUUUCUCGUUUAUCCGUCCAACAUGGAUGCACACCCAGGAUGACAUAAUCCAAGAUUUACAAUUAUCCGUUUGCCUACCCGUUAGUUUGUAUAAUCGGUUUCGUUUUUUCCCGGUGAAUCUACAAACAAGUAAGUCCUGUUUGCUUAAUUAUGGCUGCCAUGCCACCCCUUUCUUUCCUCUGUCUCUCACAUGAACACGCACACAUACACUCACACUGAUACUUAUGCACUCUCUAUCCGCUGUCUUUUUCCAAUUAUGUUGUGUAUUGAAGGCCGCCGUGCCUGACACAAACACGCACACAUGCACGCACACUGAUAUUUACACUUUGUCUGUCUUGUGUGUGUGGUGUGUUUGUCUCUUUCUGUUUGACUGACAGACAUACAGAUUAGUUUUAGCAGGCUGUGUUUGUCUUUGUCUUGUGUGUUAAUCUGUCUGUCUCUUUGUGUCUGUGUGACAUUCAAUUUAGCUUGAUUUGUGCCUGUCUUUGUGUGCGUGUCUGUCUAACUCACUGUCAAAUUAGCUUUAUUGGACAACUAACAUUUAAAUUGCCUUUAUUGGACUUAGUGACAGUCAAAUUUUUGACAGACUGACGACUGACAGACUGUGACGACUAAUGAGAAACCUAUAUUAAAAUAUCAAUACUAUAUAUUAAAAUGAACACUGACAGAUAAUUGGCAGUACAGGCAAGAUAUGUAAACAUCAACAAUCCUAUCAAUUUAAUGAGAGAUUUUGAAUAAUUAUCUACAAUUGAACUCAUGCCCAUGCAGGAAAGAAAAGUCCAAAACAAUGAAAGAAAUUAGACCUACAUGGUUUGUGCCAUGUCGGUCUAUUUCCAUCUCUCUAAUUGGCUUUGGUGCAGCAACUUUUUUCCCCAGGUAUAUCUACAAAAGUAAGUAUCUUUUUUUUCUAAGUGCUAUGCAAAGGCAACUGACAUUUUUUAAAGACCUUUCAUCUGAAAGGCUUCUUCAGUUCUGUCCAGUUGCCUUUGUAUAGCACUUAGAAAUACCAUGACCUGGAUGGCUGACUAUCUUAAAACAAGUAAGUAUCUUACUGU